CAAAAGCAAUUUUUGUCACGACGGUCUCUGAUGCGGCAUUCCAAAGUCGCUUCAGUAACUUUUACGUGCAAUGACAGUCG
rnacentral:snoRNA from 1 species